AUGUGCGUUGAGUUUCGGCGCGCUCGAUACGAAGAACAUGUCGUUGAUGGGCCUUUGCCGAAAGAUUGGCAUGGUUUCUCAGUUUAUGUGAGUCCAGAGGUGACCGGGGUAGACCGCAACAAACGGAAAAAACGGAAAGUGUCAAUUAAAUUGCGGCGUCCUGGAUGUGAAGAGAUUGUUGUCCAAGGGCCUUUGCCGAAGGACUGGCAAGGUUUCUCGGUCAAGUUUGCCGAGUCCCUUAAAGCUUGCUAUGCAGAUAGGUCGUACUACGGCCCUCCAGAUUUCUUGUGUCAGUACUGUGGUGCCUCCUUUUGGUUUGCUGAGUGCUCAAUGUCCAGGUCAUCUUGGACACAACAUAAGAUGGUUUAUAAUCGCUGUUGCAAAGGCGCUAAGUGUUGUAUACCGUUGAGUUCCAGAAGUGGGGACUGCCUCACGUGCAUAUACUUGUCUGGCGGAGGGGGGUAA
rnacentral:rRNA from 1 species